AUGAGUACAACUGUAUCACUGUGGUACACGUUCGGUGGAGGGACCAAACUGCAGCUGAAAACUGGUCCUACUGUCAGUCCCACAGUGUCUCUGCUCCCCCCCUCCUCUGAGCAGCUCUCUGGGGGCUCUGCCUCACUGGCCUGCCUGCUGACUGACUACUCCCCUCAGGGGGCGCUGGUGAGCUGGGAGGUGGAUGGGCUGGAGGUGACACAGGGGGUCGUGACCAGUCCAGAAGAAGAGAAGGAAGGCCUUUACAGACGCAGCAGCACCCUGACCCUGAGCAAGGCAGGCUGGGAGCAGGGAGAGCUCUACACCUGCAGGGUCUCCCACUUCCAACACACCCAGGCCUCCCCUCUUCGCAGGAGCCAGUGUCUGGUCUAGGGCCUAGUGGAGGAGGCCCACAACAGGAGCUCUGUCUGGGGAAGCAGGAGUAGACGAGGCUCUGGUCUGGUCUGGGGCCUGGUUGGAGCAGUAGUAGUGUGUUAGAGUGUUAGAGUAGUGUACUGAGUAAACUCUAGUACUGCUGGGGAGACCACAGUCUGGGUAGUAAUGUGUAUUGUAUAGAGUA